rnacentral:rRNA from 1 species
UACAGAGACUGCAAGCGUUAUUCGGAUUCGCUGGGCGUAAAGGGUGCGCAGGCGGCCGGGUGUGUCAGAUGUGAAAUCCCGAGGCUCAACCUCGGAACUGCGUCUGAAACUACUCGGCUAGAGUACUGGAGAGGGUAACGGAAUUCACGGUGUAGCAGUGAAAUGCGUAGAUAUCGUGAGGAACACCAGAGGCGAAGGCGGUUACCUGGACAGUUACUGACGCUCAGGCACGAAAGCAUGGGGAGCAAAAGGG